UGAAUACGAGACGCUAAGGCGUCGAAGUAGUGUAUGUCAUACUUCCAAGAAAAGCUUGCACUGUCAUAGAUAAAAAACGCCUGUACCAUAACCGACACAGGUGGGUAGGUAGAGUAUACUAAGGGGCGCGAGAUAACUCUCUCUAAGGAACUCGGCAAAAUAACUCCGUAACUUCGGGAGAAGGAGUGCCUUAUUCUUAAGGUUGCAAUAACAAGAUCCAAGCAACUGUUUAUCAAAAACACAGGUCUCCGCUAAGUCGUAAGACGAUGUAUGGGGGCUGACGCCUGCCCAGUGCCAGAAGGUUAAAGAAGCUGGUUAGCAUUUGCGAAGCUAGUAACUGAAGCCCUGGUGAACGGCGGCCGUAACGAUAACGGUCCUAAGGUAGCGAAAUUCCUUGUCGGGUAAGUUCCGACCCGCACGAAAGGCGUAAUGAUUUGGAUACUGUCUCGGAGAGGGGCUCGGUGAAAUAGACUUGUCUGUGAAGAUGCGGACUACCUGCACCAGGACAGAAAGACCCUAUGAAGCUUUACUGUAACUUGAAAUUGAAAUUGGACUUUAUUCGCGCAGUAUAGGUGGGAGGCGUUGAUUAUAAUCUUGCGGGAUUAUUGGAGCCAUUAGUGAGAUACCACUCUUGUAAUGUUAGAUUUCUAACUUUGAAUCAUUAUCUGGUCAAAGAACAGUUUCAGGCGGGCAGUUUGACUGGGGCGGUCGCCUCCCAAACGGUAACGGAGGCGUACAAAGGUUUCCUCUGAACGGUUAGAAAUCGUAUCUAGAGUGUAAAGGCAUAAGGAAGCUUGACUGUGAGACCUACAAGUCGAGCAGGGACGAAAGUCGGUCUUAGUGAUCUGACGGUACUGAGUGGAAAGGCCGUCACUCAACGGAUAAAAGUUACUCUAGGAUAACAGGCUGAUCUCCCCCAAGAGUUCACAUCGACGGGGAGGUUUGGCACCUCGAUGUCGGCUCAUCGCAUCCUGGGGCGGUAGUACGUCCCAAGGGUUGGGCUGUUCGCCCAUGAAAGCGGUACGCGAGCUGGGUUCAGAACGUCGUGGGACAGUUCGGUCCAUAUCCGGUGUAGGCGUUAGAAUAUUGAGAGGGGCCUUCUUUAGUACGAGAGGACCGAGAAGGACAUACCUCUGGUGUACCAGUUAUCGUGCCAACGGUAGACGCUGGGUAGCUAUGUAUGGAGUGGAUAACCGCUGAAAGCAUCUAAGUGGGAAGCCCACCUCAAGAUAAGUA
rnacentral:rRNA from 1 species